rnacentral:hammerhead_ribozyme from 1 species
ACUGACGAGUCCUAAAUAGAACGAAACGCGUGUCU